CAAUAGCGUAUAUUUAAGUUGUUGCAGUUAAAAAGCUCGUAGUUGGAUUUCGGUUAAGAGCGACCGGUCCGCCGUUUGGUGUGCACUGGUUGGUUUUAACUUCCUGUAGAGGACGUGCUCUGGGUUUAACGACCUGGACUCGGAGUCUACGUGGUUACUUUGAAAAAAUUAGAGUGUUCAAAGCGGGCUUACGCUUGAAUAUUUCAGCAUGGAAUAACACUAUAGGACUCCUGUCCUAUUUCGUUGGUCUCGGGACGGGAGUAAUGAUUAAGAGGAACAGUUGGGGGCAUUCGUAUUUCAUUGUCAGAGGUGAAAUUCUUGGAUUUAUGAAAGACGAACUUCUGCGAAANCANNNGCGAAGGAUGUUUUCAUNAA
rnacentral:rRNA from 1 species